AUUGAACGCUGGCGGCAGGCCUAACACAUGCAAGUCGAGCGGAUGAAGGGAGCUUGCUCCUGGAUUCAGCGGCGGACGGGUGAGUAAUGCCUAGGAAUCUGCCUGGUAGUGGGGGAUAACGUCCGGAAACGGGCGCUAAUACCGCAUACGUCCUGAGGGAGAAAGUGGGGGAUCUUCGGACCUCACGCUAUCAGAUGAGCCUAGGUCGGAUUAGCUAGUUGGUGGGGUAAAGGCCUACCAAGGCGACGAUCCGUAGCUGGUCUGAGAGGACGAUCAGUCACACUGGAACUGAGACACGGUCCAGACUCCUACGGGAGGCAGCAGUGGGGAAUAUUGGACAAUGGGCGAAAGCCUGAUCCAGCCAUGCCGCGUGUGUGAAGAAGGUCUUCGGAUUGUAAAGCACUUUAAGCUGGGAGGAAGGGCAGUAAGUUAAUACCUUGCUGUUUUGACGUUACCAACAGAAUAAGCACCGGCUAACUUCGUG
rnacentral:rRNA from 1 species